rnacentral:rRNA from 1 species
CAAUAGCGUAUAUUAAAGUUGUUGCGGUUAAAAGCUCGUAGUUGGAUUUCUGCUGAGGACGACCGGUCCGCCCUCUGGGUGAGUAUCUGGCUUGGCCUUGGCAUCUUCUUGGAGAACGUAGCUGCACUUGACUGUGUGGUGCGGUAUCCAGGACUUUUACUUUUGAGGAAAUUAGAGUGUUUCAAGCAGGCACACGCCUUGAAUACAUUAGCAUGGAAUAAUAAGAUAAGACUUUGGCGGUCUAUUUUGUUGGUUUGCACGCCAUUGUAAUGAUUGAUAGGGACAGUUGGGGUGAUUAUCAUAUUUAAUUGUCAGAGGUGAAAUUCUUGGAUUUAUGAAAAGAUGAACUACUGCGAAAGCAUUUACCAAGGAUGUUUUUCAUUAAUCAAGAACGAAAGUUAGGGGAGUCGAAGAUGAUCAGAU